AUGGAGAGCGUGGAUGAAAAUGGAGGAAGCCGCCUUGUGGUGACCGAGCUGGGCUACAUCAAGGAGCUGGUGAGGCAGCUGGACGUCAACCUGGGAGGCUGCCCCGACCACUGCAAGCGCCUGGCCGCCCAGAUCUUCGCCGUGACCGAGAGGUCCAUCGGCAUGAUCAGGUCCGGCCACUUCGACUGCCGGAAGCGCUCCGCCGCCGGCCUCGACUCGCCGCCGUUCUCCGCGACGCCCAGCCCCCUGAGCGACGUCUCCGGCGUGCCUUUCCAUGCCAACAACAAGAAGAGGAAGACAAUGGAGAAACGGAAACAUCAGGUCAGGGUGAGCUCGGAGGGAGCAGGAGCGGAGACCCCAGUCGACGACGGCCACAGCUGGAGGAAGUACGGCCAGAAGGACAUUCUUGGAGCCAAGCACCCAAGGGGGUACUACCGCUGCACGCACCGCAAAUCCCAGGGGUGCGCGGCGACCAAGCAGGUGCAGCGCGCCGACGAGGACCCGGCGCUCUUCGACGUGAUCUACCACGGCGAGCACACCUGCGUUCACAAGACGGUGGCCGCCGCGGCGGCCAUGGUGCAGCCGGCGGAGGAGAACCCGGACGCUCGUAGGCAUCUGCAGAACCUGAGCACGAGCCUGACAGUGAACACCGAGGGGCUCACGGCGACGACGGGUCAUCAGGGCUGCGGCACCACCACGUCCUUCUGCUUCUCCUCGCAGGCGGUGAGCGCGCUGACGACGCCGCAAGAGCACUACCCGUUCUCCAUGCCGUCGACGCCGGAGAACUGCUUUGGACAGGGCGCGUCGCUGUCGACGUCCCUUGAACCCUCGCCGGUAACCUCGGACUCGAACCGCUUCUCCAUGAACCCGUUCCAGGCGGAGUGGAGGGCGCAGUCUGAGUACGACGAGGUGGUGUCCGCGCUCGUGGCCGCGGGGACGAUGCCGGCGCUCGCCAUGGAGAUGGAGGAGAACGCCUUCUCGAUGGACGGGUUUGAGUUCGACGUUUCUUGCUUCUUUGCAUCAGACGAUUGA
rnacentral:rRNA from 1 species